CAUUUGUAUGCAUUUCCCAUAGGGUCCUAUGUUAAACUAAGUCCCCCGCUGGCGGCAAUCUUGGAUAAUGGAUCGGCUACAAAGUAACAACACUUGGUCAGCACCACAUUAGGAACAUUCAUGCUAUGUUUGAUUUCAUUCCAUUCAGUGGUUCUCUAAAAGAAGUCAUUUGUAUGCAUUUCCCAUAGGGUCCUAUGUUAAACUAAGUCC
rnacentral:lncRNA from 1 species